GACGAACGCUGGCGGCGUGCUUAACACAUGCAAGUCGAACCGAAAGGCCCUGCUUUUGUGGGGUGCUCGAGUGGCGAACGGGUGAGUAACACGUGAGUAACCUGCCCUUGACUUUGGGAUAACUUCAGGAAACUGGGGCUAAUACCGGAUAGGAGCUCCUGCUGCAUGGUGGGGGUUGGAAAGUUUCGGCGGUUGGGGAUGGACUCGCGGCUUAUCAGCUUGUUGGUGGGGUAGUGGCUUACCAAGGCUUUGACGGGUAGCCGGCCUGAGAGGGUGACCGGCCACAUUGGGACUGAGAUACGACCCAGACUCCUACGGGAGGCAGCAGUGGGGAAUAUUGCACAAUGGGCGGAAGCCUGAUGCAGCAACGCCGCGUGCGGGAUGACGGCCUUCGGGUUGUAAACCGCUUUCGCCUGUGACGAAGCGUGAGUGACGGUAAUGGGUAAAGAAGCACCGGCUAACUACGUG
rnacentral:rRNA from 1 species